rnacentral:lncRNA from 1 species
UUGUUGUUGUUUUUGUUUCCCUGUGGAAUGAAAAGCAAUCCAUGAUUGGGGUGGGCAGCUCCCAACCCUGCUCCCUUUGGGAUUUGAGCCCGAGGCAAGGGAAUCCCGGGGUGGGAGGGAUGAUCCAGAGGGAUCCUGGGGUUGGAGGGAUGAUCCAGAGGGAUCCUGGGGUGGGAGGGAUGAUCCAGAGGGAUCCCUGGGCCCCUUUUCCCCCUUCCCUGUCUCCAGGGCUGCCCUGAGCCCCCCAAAACCUUCCCAGGGGUGGGCUCGGGGCUCGGCUCCGAAAUCCAGCGCUGCUCCCACCCUUGGGAGGGCAAAAAUCCCUGUCCAGAUCCCUUGGAGGGGCACAAUUCCCUGUCCAGGGUCCUUGGGCGGGAACAAAUCCUUUUCCAAUGCCCUUGGAGGGGACACAAAUCCUUUUCCAAUGCCCUUGGAGGGGCACAAAUCCCUCUCUAAAUUCCUCUCCAAAUCCCUUGGAAGGGCACAAGUCCUUUUCCAAAGCCCUUGGAAGGGCACAAUUCCCUUUCCAAAGCCCUUGGAAGGGCACAAUUCCCUUUCCAAAGCCUUUGGAAAGGCACAAAUCCCACCCCAGGGAAUGUCCCGAAGGAAUUCCCGACCCCAAGGGGGAGCCCCUGAAUGUUCAGAGCACUUUGCAGUUGGUGGCCUUGUUUUCUUAAAGGGCUUUGAUCUUUUCAUGAAAGGAGAGAAUCUUCCCCAUCCCAUCAUCAUCAUCAUCAUCAUCAUCAUCAUCCUCCUCCUCCCCAGCUCGGAAUUCAUGCCUGGAAUGUUCAGGAUGAUCCAGGACUCUGGAAUCUGUCAUUAAUCCCUCAAAUUUUACACAUAAAAAGGGGGAAAAAGAAAGUUGGGAAUUUCUCCUGGAAUUCAGGUUGGCAGCAGCACCAGGGAAAUAAAAAGGGGAAAAAAAAAAACUCUGAUGGAUUU